rnacentral:misc_RNA from 1 species
UUUCCGUAGGUGAACCUGCGGAAGGAUCAUUAUUGUAUAACCGAGGUGCGAGGGCUGUCGCUGACCCGAAAGGUCGUGCACGCCCGAGUGCUCUCACACACAUCCAUCUCACCCCUAUGUGCACCACCGCGUGGGUCCCCCUUUGGCUCGUUCGGAGGGGGGCUUACGUUUUCACACAAACUUUGUAUGCAGUGUAGAAUGUAUUUUUUGUUUUUGCGAUCACGCAAUCAAUACAACUUUCAACAACGGAUCUCUUGGCUCUC